rnacentral:sRNA from 1 species
UACUCAAGGCUCCUCCCAGGUGGCAGAGGAGAGACCGGAGCUGCUGAACCCUGAGCCCAGGAGACUGAGCCCAGAGUUGAGGCUACUGCCCUAUGUGAUCACGCUGGGCGAUGCCGUGCACAACUUCGCCGACGGGCUGGCCGUGGGCGCCGCCUUCGCGUCCUCUUGGAAGACCGGGCUGGCCACGUCGCUGGCCGUGUUCUGCCACGAGUUGCCGCACGAGCUGGGGGACUUCGCGGCCUUGCUGCACGCGGGGCUGUCCGUGCGCCAAGCACUGCUGCUGAACCUGGCCUCCGCGCUCACGGCCUUCGCCGGUCUCUACGUGGCACUCGCGGUUGGAGUCGGCGAGGAGAGCGAGGCCUGGAUCCUGGCAGUGGCCACCGGCCUGUUCCUCUACGUAGCACUCUGCGACAUGCUCCCGGCGAUGUUGAAAGUACGGGACCCGCGGCCCUGGCUCCUCUUCCUGCUGCACAACGUGGGCCUGCUGGGCGGCUGGACCGUCCUGCUGCUGCUGUCCCUGUACGAGGAUGACAUCACCCUCUGAUACCCUGCCCUAGUGCCCUACCUUUGACUUAAGAUCCCACACCUCACAAACCUACAGCCCAGAAACCAGAAGCCCCUAUAGAGGCCCCAGUCCCAACUCCAGUAAAGACACUCUUGUCCUUGGA